rnacentral:tRNA from 1 species
GAUGGAUGUAGCUCAAAUGGUAGAGCGCUCGCUUAGCAUGCGAGAGUACAGGAUCGAUACCCUGCUUCUCCAUUG